CAGAUUUUCUGUGUGAUACAUUUUUUCAUUUUAAUUGAGUCCCCUCUUCCUCCCCUCCAACUGAUAGCUUUUUAUAACUGUGUGAAAUAUCUAGAGAAGAAUGAAGUAGGCUGAGCUACAUUUUCAAGCUUAACAUUCUUUAGAAAACUAAGAAAAUGCCCAAUAUUUCAACAUUAAGUGUCAAUAGGGGCUAAAUGAUCACUUUAAGAUGUUUUCAGUUUGGAACUUGAAUGUGUGUUUAAUUUUUUGUGAACAGAUUGAUGACUCUUCCGCGUCUAUUUCUCUGGCCCAGCUUACAAAGACUGCCAAUCUGGCUGAAGCCAAUGCUUCUGAAGAAGAUAAAAUUAAAGCAAUGAUGUCGCAAUCUGGCCAUGAAUACGACCCAAUCAAUUACAUGAAGAAACCUCUAGGUCCACCACCUCCAUCUUACACGUGUUUCCGUUGUGGUAAACCUGGACAUUAUAUUAAGAAUUGCCCAACAAAUGGGGAUAAAAACUUUGAAUCUGGUCCUAG
rnacentral:sRNA from 1 species